rnacentral:rRNA from 1 species
GAGGAAUAUUGGUCAAUGGGCGGGAGCCUGAACCAGCCAAGUCGCGUGAGGGAUGACGGUCCUAUGGAUUGUAAACCUCUUUUGUCAGGGAGCAAAGGGCGUCACGUGUGGCGUUUUGAGAGUACCUGAAGAAAAAGCAUCGGCUAACUCC